rnacentral:rRNA from 1 species
AUUGAACGCUGGCGGCAUGCUUUACACAUGCAAGUCGAACGGCAGCGCGGGCUUCGGCCUGGCGGCGAGUGGCGAACGGGUGAGUAAUGCAUCGGAACGUGCCCAGUAGUGGGGGAUAGCCCGGCGAAAGCCGGAUUAAUACCGCAUACGACCUGAGGGUGAAAGCGGGGGACCGAAAGGCCUCGCGCUAUUGGAGCGGCCGAUGUCGGAUUAGCUAGUUGGUGGGGUAAAGGCUUACCAAGGCGACGAUCCGUAGCUGGUCUGAGAGGACGACCAGCCACACUGGGACUGAGACACGGCCCAGACUCCUACGGGAGGCAGCAGUGGGGAAUUUUGGACAAUGGGGGCAACCCUGAUCCAGCCAUGCCGCGUGCGGGAAGAAGACCUUCGGGUUGUAAACCGCUUUUGUUCGGGAAGAAAUCCUCUGGGCUAAUACCCCGGGGGGAUGACGGUACCGGAAGAAUAAGCACCGGCUAACUACGUG